rnacentral:rRNA from 1 species
UACGAAGGGGGCUAGCGUUGUUCGGAAUCACUGGGCGUAAAGCGCAUGCAGGCGGAUUGUUAAGUCGGGGGGUGAAAUCCCGAGGCUCAACCUCGGAACUGCCUUCGAUACUGGCAAUCUUGAGUCCGGGAGAGGUGAGUGGAACUGCGAGUGUAGAGGUGAAAUUCGUAGAUAUUCGCAAGAACACCAGUGGCGAAGGCGGCUCACUGGCCCGGUACUGACGCUGAGGUGCGAAAGCGUGGGGAGCAAACAGG